rfam:Salmo salar isolate Sally breed double haploid chromosome ssa06, whole genome shotgun sequence.
GUUUCUGUAGUGUAGUGGUUAUCACAUUCGCUUAACACGCGAAAGGUCCUCGGUUCGAAACUGGGCGGAAACA